UACAUAGGGAGCGAGCGUUAUCCGGAUUUAUUGGGUGUAAAGGGUGCGUAGACGGGAAUACAAGUUGGUUGUGAAAGCCCUCGGCUUAACUGAGGAACUGCAACCGAAACUAUAUUUCUUGAGUACUGGAGAGGAAAGUGGAAUUCCUAGUGUAGCGGUGAAAUGCGUAGAUAUUAGGAGGAACACCAGUGGCGAAGGCGACUUUCUGGACAGAAACUGACGUUGAGGCACGAAAGUGUGGGGAGCAAACA
rnacentral:rRNA from 1 species